rnacentral:tRNA from 1 species
CGCGGGGUGGAGCAGUCUGGUAGCUCGUCGGGCUCAUAACCCGGAGGCCGCAGGUUCAAAUCCUGCCCCCGCUACCA